rnacentral:lncRNA from 1 species
CUGUUCCUUGAGCUCUGUUGAACUCCUUGCUGGCUGUUGAAUGUAGGCCAGCCACCUUCAGUACUCUACCACCUAGGCCUCUCCAUCAUCUUACUUCAUUAAAGCCAGUAAGGGAGAGGUCUUCUAGCAAGACUAAUUAUAGUUUUUGGUAACAUUCCCUCAACAUUACUAUAUUCUGUUAAUUAGAAACAGAUUAUUCAAGGAGAGAGGUUUAUGCAAGGCUAUAAAUACAAGAUGGCAGGGAUCAUUGAGGGUUCUUCAAGCAGCUGCCUACCACAGUUGCAUGUAAAUUCACCAUCUUGCUUUACACUUUGUUGUCCAACCUGUUCCUCUUUUCUUGCCUUUUUUUUUAAAGUCAGUUUUUUAGGUAUUUCACUUUAUUUUUAUAGUGUUUUAUUAGCUAUAUCUUUUUUUUUCCCAAGUGUUCCCUGAUCUUUUCCAGUGUAAGUCUCAUAUGCUGUGUAUCGCACCCAAUAGAAUGCUUAUCUUAGAGCCUAUGCUUUUAUCUCUGGAGGUUCCAUUUUGUUCUUUUUUUGCAUUUUUUUGCAUUAUAGUCAUGUUUUCCUUUAAAAACUUUUACAUA